UUACGGUCAUAUCACGUUGAAACACCCGAUCACCGAAGUUAAGCAACGUCGAGACUGGUCAUUACCUAGAUGGGUGACCGUUUGGAAAUAUCAGGUGCUGUAA